rnacentral:rRNA from 1 species
GAGACAGCAGUAGCCGCGGGAAUACGUAGGUGGCAAGCGUUGUCCGGAAUUAUUGGGCGUAAAGGGCUCGCAGGCGGUUCCUUAAGUCUGAUGUGAAAGCCCCCGGCUCAACCGGGGAGGGUCAUUGGAAACUGGGAAACUUGAGUGCAGAAGAGGAGAGUGGAAUUCCACGUGUAGCGGUGAAAUGCGUAGAGAUGUGGAGGAACACCAGUGGCGAAGGCGACUCUCUGGUCUGUAACUGACGCUGAGGAGCGAAAGCGUGUGGAGCGAACAGGAUUAGAUACCCCAGUAGUCCCUGUCUCUUAUAC